CAGCCGCCGCGGUAAUGCGUAGGUGGCAAGCGUUGUCCGGAAUUAUUGGGCGUAAAGGGCUCGCAGGCGGUUUCUUUAGUCUGAUGUGAAAGCCCCCGGCUCAACCGGGGAGGGUCAUUGGAAACUGGGAAACUUGAGUGCAGAAGAGGAGAGUGGAAUUCCACGUGUAGCGGUGAAAUGCGUAGAGAUGUGGAGGAACACCAGUGGCGAAGGCGACUCUCUGGUCUGUAACUGACGCUGAGGAGCGAAAGCGUGGGGAGCGAACAGGAUUAGAUACCCCAGUAGUCCCUGUCUCUUAUAC
rnacentral:rRNA from 1 species